UACGAGUACCCCCAAGCGUUAUCCGGAAUUACUGGGCGUAAAGCGUGCGCAGGCGGUUUUGUAAGACAGGCGUGAAAUCCCCGGGCUCAACCUGGGAACUGCGCUUGUGACUGCAAGGCUAGAGUACGGCAGAGGGGGGUGGAAUUCCACGUGUAGCAGUGAAAUGCGUAGAGAUGUGGAGGAACACCAAUGGCGAAGGCAGCCCCCUGGGUCGAUACUGACGCUCAUGCACGAAAGCGUGGGUAGCAAACAGGAUUAGAAACCCGUGUAGU
rnacentral:rRNA from 1 species